rnacentral:tRNA from 1 species
ACACUUUUAGGAUAAAUAAUCUUUAUGUCUUUUAAAUGUAAGAAGCUGUAGCAAUGUGU